CCUCCAGGGAGGCGAAGAUGUCGAAGUUCCCGAAUGCGACCGCGUCGCGGCCGGGAC
rnacentral:antisense_RNA from 1 species